CCAACCGGAGACGGAAGGAGUGCUUUUAUUAGAUCAAAACCAAUCGGUGGCGAGUUCGCGCUCGUCAUCGUUCAACUUGGUGACUCUGAAUAACUUUACGCUGAUCGCACGGUCUCGCACCGGCGACGCAUCUUUCAAAUGUCUGCCUUAUCAACUGUCGAUGGUAGGUUCUGCGCCUACCAUGGUUGUAACGGGUAACGGGGAAUCAGGGUUCGAUUCCGGAGAGGGAGCCUGAGAAACGGCUACCACAUCCAAGGAAGGCAGCAGGCGCGCAAAUUACCCACUCCCGGCACGGGGAGGUAGUGACGAAAAAUAACGAUACGGG
rnacentral:rRNA from 1 species